CAGUAGCCACGGGAAUACGAAGGGGGCUAGCGUUGUUCGGAAUUACUGGGCGUAAAGCGCAUGUAGGCGGAUAUUUAAGUCAGGGGUGAAAUCCCGCAGCUCAACUGCGGAACUGCCUUUGAUACUGGGUAUCUUGAGUAUGGAAGAGGUGAGUGGAAUUCCGAGUGUAGAGGUGAAAUUCGUAGAUAUUCGGAGGAACACCAGUGGCGAAGGCGGCUCACUGGUCCAUUACUGACGCUGAGGUGCGAAAGCGUGGGGAGCAAACAGGAUUAGAUACCCGCGUAGUCCCUGUCUCUUAUAC
rnacentral:rRNA from 1 species